AACAAACGCUGGCGGCGUGCCUAAUACAUGCAAGUCGAACGGGGAAAGCUUUCGGGUGAGUACUAGUGGCGCACGAGUGAGUAACGCGUGGAUAAUCUGCCUUAGAGUGGGGGAUAACUAGUCGAAAGAUUAGCUAAUACCGCAUAAGACCACAAGAACUGCGGUUCAAGGGGUCAAAGGUUUUUCGCUCUAAGAUGAGUCCGCGUAAGAUUAGCUAGUUGGUGAGGUAAUGGCUCACCAAGGCGACGAUCUUUAACUGGUCUGAGAGGAUGAUCAGUCACACGGGAACUGAGACACGGUCCAGACUCCUACGGGAGGGAGCAGUAGGGAAUAUUGCACAAUGGAGGAAACUCUGAUGCAGCGACGCCGCGUGAGUGAUGAAGGCCUUCGGGUCGUAAAGCUCUGUCGCAAGGGAAUAACACAAUGAAUGUACCUUGCAAGAAAGGAUCGGCUAACUUCGUGCCAGCCGCCGCAGUAAAAC
rnacentral:rRNA from 1 species